UGGGGAAUAUUGCACAAUGGGCGCAAGCCUGAUGCAGCCAUGCCGCGUGUGUGAAGAAGGCCUUCGGGUUGUAAAGUACUUUCAGCGGGGAGGAAGGGAGUAAAGUUAAUACCUUUGCUCAUUGACGUUACCCGCAGAAGAAUCACCGGCUAACUCCGUGCCAGCAGCCGCGGUAAUACGGAGGGUGCAAGCGUUAAUCGGAAUUACUGGGCGUAAAGCGCACGCAGGCGGUUUGUUAAGUCAGAUGUGAAAUCCCCGGGCUCAACCUGGGAACUGCAUCUGAUACUGGCAAGCUUGAGUCUCGUAGAGGGGGGUAGAAUUCCAGGUGUAGCGGUGAAAUGCGUAGAGAUCUGGAGGAAUACCGGUGGCGAAGGCGGCCCCCUGGACGAAGACUGACGCUCAGGUGCGAAAGCGUGGGGAGCAAACAGG
rnacentral:rRNA from 1 species